GUGAACUUAGCUCAGUUGUUAGAGCAUCACUCUUGAAUGUUGAGGUUGCAGGUUCAAUUCCUGCAGUGCAUG
rnacentral:tRNA from 1 species